rnacentral:rRNA from 1 species
UAGGGAAUCUUCGGCAAUGGACGAAAGUCUGACCGAGCAACGCCGCGUGAGUGAAGAAGGUUUUCGGAUCGUAAAACUCUGUUGUUAGAGAAGAACAAGGACGUUAGUAACUGAACGUCCCCUGACGGUAUCUAACCAGAAAGCCACGGCUAACUACGUGCCAGCAGCCGCGGUAAUACGUAGGUGGCAAGCGUUGUCCGGAUUUAUUGGGCGUAAAGCGAGCGCAGGCGGUUUCUUAAGUCUGAUGUGAAAGCCCCCGGCUCAACCGGGGAGGGUCAUUGGAAACUGGGAGACUUGAGUGCAGAAGAGGAGAGUGGAAUUCCAUGUGUGGCGGUGAAAUGCGUAGAUAUAUGGAGGAACACCAGUGGCGAAGGCGGCUCUCUGGUCUGUAACUGACGCUGAGGCGCGAAAGCGUGGGGAGCAAACAGG